rnacentral:rRNA from 1 species
GACGAACGCUGGCGGCGUGCUUAACACAUGCAAGUCGAACGGUAAGGCCCUGCUUUUGUGGGGUGCUCGAGUGGCGAACGGGUGAGUAACACGUGAGUAACCUGCCCUUGACUUUGGGAUAACUUCAGGAAACUGGGGCUAAUACCGGAUAGGAGCUCCUGCUGCAUGGUGGGGGUUGGAAAGUUUCGGCGGUUGGGGAUGGACUCGCGGCUUAUCAGCUUGUUGGUGGGGUAGUGGCUUACCAAGGCUUUGACGGGUAGCCGGCCUGAGAGGGUGACCGGCCACAUUGGGACUGAGAUACGGCCCAGACUCCUACGGGAGGCAGCAGUGGGGAAUAUUGCACAAUGGGCGGAAGCCUGAUGCAGCAACGCCGCGUGCGGGAUGACGGCCUUCGGGUUGUAAACCGCUUUCGCCUGUGACGAAGCGUGAGUGACGGUAAUGGGUAAAGAAGCACCGGCUAACUACGUGCCAGCAGCCGCGGUGAUACGUAGGGUGCGAGCGUUGUCCGGAUUUAUUGGGCGUAAAGGGCUCGUAGGUGGUUGAUCGCGUCGGAAGUGUAAUCUUGGGGCUUAACCCUGAGCGUGCUUUCGAUACGGGUUGACUUGAGGAAGGUAGGGGAGAAUGGAAUUCCUGGUGGAGCGGUGGAAUGCGCAGAUAUCAGGAGGAACACCAGUGGCGAAGGCGGUUCUCUGGGCCUUUCCUGACGCUGAGGAGCGAAAGCGUGGGGAGCGAACAGGCUUAGAUACCCUGGUAGUCCACGCUGUAAACGGUGGGUACUAGGUGUGGGGUCCAUUCCACGGGUUCCGUGCCGUAGCUAACGCUUUAAGUACCCCGCCUGGGGAGUACGGCCGCAAGGCUAAAACUCAAAGGAAUUGACGGGGCCCCGCACAAGCGGCGGAGCAUGCGGAUUAAUUCGAUGCAACGCGUAGAACCUUACCUGGGUUUGACAUGGAUCGGGAGCGCUCAGAGAUGGGUGUGCCUCUUUUGGGGUCGGUUCACAGGUGGUGCAUGGCUGUCGUCAGCUCGUGUCGUGAGAUGUUGGGUUAAGUCCCGCAACGAGCGCAACCCUUGUUCACUGUUGCCAGCACGUUAUGGUGGGGACUCAGUGGAGACCGCCGGGGUCAACUCGGAGGAAGGUGGGGAUGACGUCAAGUCAUCAUGCCCCUUAUGUCCAGGGCUUCACGCAUGCUACAAUGGCUGGUACAGAGAGUGGCGAGCCUGUGAGGGUGAGCGAAUCUCGGAAAGCCGGUCUCAGUUCGGAUUGGGGUCUGCAACUCGACCUCAUGAAGUCGGAGUCGCUAGUAAUCGCAGAUCAGCAACGCUGCGGUGAAUACGUUCCCGGGGCU